GGUCUAAACUAAUUAUUUCAAAAAGUGGGGGGGACUUGUCCCUCACUUAAUCCCUCAUAUAAUGGCUGCGACACCCAUGGAUCUAACGCUGCUCAGUGCCCUGAAGUCUCUGAAGACUGUUGGUGUGAUCACGCUGAUAUCAAACCUCAGAACCUCAUGCUGCUGAUGGAAAACAACUCAGAGUCAAAGUGAUUGACUUUGGUUCAGCCGUUGUAUCUGCUGAAGUCAAGCGUGGUGUCAUCAUGCAGCCUGCUUCGUACAGUUAUUAUGGGCCUUCCCAUCACAGAGGCAGUGGACAUCUGGUCUUUGGGUGGUGUUUUGGCAACCAUGUACCGACUGGCUUCCCUCCCUAAAAACACAGAGGGAGUUCAACCAGUGUCAGACGUCUGGAGGACCUGCAGAAGCUGAACCCAGCUUUACUCUACCAAUGAGCAAAGGUUCGUCCUCCUGCCUGAGAUGCUGCACCUGAAUCUUUGGAGGAGAACCACACCCAGUGACGCUCUGCUAGACCCAUUCAUAACUGGACUGGAUGCUGUUGACUCUCUGGUAGAGGAUUCAUCUGAGGAAGAUAACGGUUAUGUUGGUGGUGAUGGUGAUUCUCCUGCAGUGGACACAUCAGAGGGGGCUUCAUCCGACAUUAGCUCAAUAGACGUAGCCUGCGCUGCCACCGUGGAUUCUUUCGUGGGUGUAGAAAACGUAUAGCUGUUGUUUUCUCCAUUGAUGAGGCCUCAGUUGGUGCCCCUGUUUCUACAGAUGACACCAUGACAGUUGUUCCAAAGAAGGAGGUCUCAGCUCCCCGUUGCUUCACUGUCGAAAGCUUACUUGGUGGUGGAGACUCAAACAGAGCAACGACUGUUCUUUAUGACGCUGUUACAGAGGCACAGCCGCAGCUGAUAAAUCUGCUCCAGCCAUGACAAAAGCUGCACUCAAAAGUCCCUCCACUGGUGAAGGUUCUUCUCCACCCUCUACCGCUGACGCCCACAUCAGCUCUGGUGGAGUCUCAGCCAGAAACAGUCAGGGGAAAAGGAUCAGGAAGUUCUUCGUAAGGAUGUUCAGGGCCCUGAGCGGCUGUUGCUUUGCCAAUGUUGAGCAAUAAUUAGAUGUUAUCUGUUUUCUUUGUUCUUUUAUUUCAUUAUUAAAAGUUUUCUUCCAUGUGUAAUCUGGAGGAUAGUUUUUACCCAGGAGAUACUAUUAGUAGUGGAUUACUGUUACCUGCAACUACAUUAUUAGUAUUUUACUAUAUUUGUAAGUGCAAA